rfam:Ciona savignyi cont_5933, whole genome shotgun sequence.
GGAAGGAUGGCCGAGUGGUUUAAGGCGCUGCGUUCAGGUCGCAGUCUCCUCUGGAGGCGCGGGUUCGAAUCCCGCUCCUGUCA